GACGAACGCUGGCGGCGUGCUUAACACAUGCAAGUCGGACGGAAAGGCCCUGCUUUUGUGGGGUGCUCGAGUGGCGAACGGGUGAGUAACACGUGAGUAACCUGCCCUUGACUUUGGGAUAACUUCAGGAAACUGGGGCUAAUACCGGAUAGGAGCUCCUGCUGCAUGGUGGGGGUUGGAAAGUUUCGGCGGUUGGGGAUGGACUCGCGGCUUAUCAGCUUGUUGGUGGGGUAGUGGCUUACCAAGGCUUUGACGGGUAGCCGGCCUGAGAGGGUGACCGGCCACAUUGGGACUGAGAUACGGCCCAGACUCCUACGGGAGGCAGCAGUGGGGAAUAUUGCACAAUGGGCGGAAGCCUGAUGCAGCAACGCCGCGUGCGGGAUGACGGCCUUCGGGUUGUAAACCGCUUUCGCCUGUGACGAAGCGUGAGUGACGGUAAUGGGUAAAGAAGCACCGGCUAACUACGCG
rnacentral:rRNA from 1 species